GAUGAAGAACGUAGUGAAAUGCGAUAAGUAAUGUGAAUUGCAGAAUUCAGUGAAUCAUCGAAUCUUUGAACGCAUCUUGCGCUCCUUGGUAUUCUGAGGAGCAUGCCUGUUUGAGUGUCAUUUCAAGUUCUCAACCACAUCAAUUUCAAUGUGGCUUGGAUGGUGGGGGUUCUUUUUGCAGGCUUCUGUAGAUAUGAAGUCGGCUCCCCUGAAAUGUAUUAGUGGUAUCUGAGCUACUACAGGUGUGAUAACUAUCUAUGCCUUGGUAUGCUGCAUGAAACAGAUUGCGCCGCUUCUAACAAGUGGGAAACACAAUUCUGAUGAAUUUGACCUCAAAUCAGGUAGGACUACCCGCUGAACUUAAGCAUAUCAAUAAGCGGAGGA
rnacentral:misc_RNA from 1 species